GACGAACGCUGGCGGCGUGCUUAACACAUGCAAGUCGAACGGAAAGGCCCUGCUUGCAGGGUACUCGAGUGGCGAACGGGUGGGUAGCACGUGGGUGAUCUGCCCUGCACUUCGGGAUAAGCCUGGGAAACUGGGUCUAAUACCGGAUAGGAGCCAUUUUUAGUGUGAUGGUUGGAAAGUUUUUUCGGUGUAGGAUGAGCUCGCGGCCUAUCAGCUUGUUGGUGGGGUAAUGGCCUACCAAGGCGGCGACGGGUAGCCGGCCUGAGAGGGUGGACGGCCACAUUGGGACUGAGAUACGGCCCAGACUCCUACGGGAGGCAGCAGUGGGGAAUAUUGCACAAUGGGCGCAAGCCUGAUGCAGCGACGCCGCGUGGGGGAUGACGGCCUUCGGGUUGUAAACUCCUUUCGCUAGGGACGAAGCUUUUUGUGACGGUACCUAGAUAAGGAGCACCGGCUAACUACGUG
rnacentral:rRNA from 1 species